rnacentral:rRNA from 1 species
AGAGUUUGAUUCUGGCUCAGGAUGAACGCUAGCUACAGGCUUAACACAUGCAAGUCGAGGGGCAGCAUUGGAGUAGCAAUACUUCAGAUGGCGACCGGCGCACGGGUGAGUAACACGUAUCCAACCUGCCGCUUACUCGGGGAUAGCCUUUCGAAAGAAAGAUUAAUACCCGAUGGUAUAAAGAGUUCGCAUGUUCUCUUUAUUAAAGAAUUUCGGUAAGCGAUGGGGAUGCGUUCCAUUAGAUAGUUGGCGGGGUAACGGCCCACCAAGUCUACGAUGGAUAGGGGUUCUGAGAGGAAGGUCCCCCACAUUGGAACUGAGACACGGUCCAAACUCCUACGGGAGGCAGCAGUGAGGAAUAUUGGUCAAUGGACGAGAGUCUGAACCAGCCAAGUAGCGUGAAGGAUGACUGCCCUAUGGGUUGUAAACUUCUUUUAUAAGGGAAUAAAGUGAGGGACGUGUCCCUUUUUGUAUGUACCUUAUGAAUAAGGAUCGGCUAACUCCGUGCCAGCAGCCGCGGUAAU